GGCUCCGUGGCGCAAUGGAUAGCGCAUUGGACUUCUAGGAAAGCCUCUCGAGGGGAUUCAAAGGUUGUGGGUUCGAGUCCCACCGGAGUCG
rnacentral:tRNA from 1 species